AUUGAACGCUGGCGGCAGGCCUAACACAUGCAAGUCGAACGAGUGGCGGACGGGUGAGUAAUGCCUGGGAAACUGCCUGAUGGAGGGGGAUAACUACUGGAAACGGUAGCUAAUACCGCAUACCAUCAGAUGUGCCCAGGUGGGAAUGGUGUGUUGGUGGGGUAACGGCUCACCAAGGCGACGAUCCCUAGCUGGGCGGAGAGGAUGACCAGCCACACUGGAACUGAGACACGGUCCAGACUCCUACGGGGGGCAGCGUUGGGGAAUAUUGCACAAUGGGCGCAAGCCUGAUGCAGCCAUGCCGCGUGUAUGAAGAAGGCCUUCGGUUUGUAAAGUACUUUCAGCGGGGAGGCGUUACCCGCAGAAGAAGCAACGGCUAACUCCGUGCCAGCAGCCGCGGUAAUUC
rnacentral:rRNA from 1 species